GACGAACGCUGGCGGCGUGCCUAAUACAUGCAAGUCGAGCGGACCGACGGGAGCUUGCUCCCUUAGGUCAGCGGCGGACGGGUGAGUAACACGUGGGUAACCUGCCUGUAAGACUGGGAUAACUCCGGGAAACCGGGGCUAAUACCGGAUGCUUGAUUGAACCGCAUGGUUCAAUCAUAAAAGGUGGCUUUUAGCUACCACUUACAGAUGGACCCGCGGCGCAUUAGCUAGUUGGUGAGGUAACGGCUCACCAAGGCGACGAUGCGUAGCCGACCUGAGAGGGUGAUCGGCCACACUGGGACUGAGACACGGCCCAGACUCCUACGGGAGGCAGCAGUAGGGAAUCUUCCGCAAUGGACGAAAGUCUGACGGAGCAACGCCGCGUGAGUGAUGAAGGUUUUCGGAUCGUAAAACUCUGUUGUUAGGGAAGAACAAGUACCGUUCGAAUAGGGCGGUACCUUGACGGUACCUAACCAGAAAGCCACGGCUAACUACGUGCCAGCAGCCGCGGUAAUACGUAGGUGGCAAGCGUUGUCCGGAAUUAUUGGGCGUAAAGCGCGCGCAGGCGGUUUCUUAAGUCUGAUGUGAAAGCCCCCGGCUCAACCGGGGAGGGUCAUUGGAAACUGGGGAACUUGAGUGCAGAAGAGGAGAGUGGAAUUCCACGUGUAGCGGUGAAAUGCGUAGAGAUGUGGAGGAACACCAGUGGCGAAGGCGACUCUCUGGUCUGUAACUGACGCUGAGGCGCGAAAGCGUGGGGAGCGAACAGGAUUAGAUACCCUGGUAGUCCACGCCGUAAACGAUGAGUGCUAAGUGUUAGAGGGUUUCCGCCCUUUAGUGCUGCAGCAAACG
rnacentral:rRNA from 2 species